rnacentral:rRNA from 1 species
CUACGGGGGGCACCAGUGGGGAAUAUUGGACAAUGGGGGAAACCCUGAUCCAGCAAUGCCGCGUGUGUGAAGAAGGCCUGCGGGUUGUAAAGCACUUUCGGUUGGGAGGACUGCUUCUAGCACUAAUAUUGUUGGAAGUUGACGUUACCUUCAGAAGAAGCACCGGCUAACUCCGUGCCAGCAGCGCGCGGUAAUACGGAGGGUGCAAGCGUUAAUCGGAAUUACUGGGCGUAAAGCGCGCGUAGGCGGCUAGAUCAGUCGGGUGUGAAAGCCCCGGGCUUAACCUGGGAACUGCAUCCGAUACUGUCUAGCUUGAGUACAGGAGAUGAGAGUGGAAUUCCACAUGUAGCGGUGAUAUGCGUAGAUAUGUGGAGGAACACCAAUGGCGAAGGCAGCUCUCUGGCCUGAUACUGACGCUGAGGUGCGAAAGCGUGGGGAGCAAACAGGAUUAGAUACCCCCGUAGUC